rnacentral:tRNA from 1 species
GUAUUUGAAACUAAUAAUUAAUAAGUGUUAGUUUUGUAAACUAAAUAUAGAAUAUUCCAAAUACU